GACGAACGCUGGCGGCGUGCCUAAUACAUGCAAGUCGAGCGAAGCGGCGGAUUGGUGAGUAACGCGUGGGUAACCUGCCCUUAAGUCUGGGAUACCAUUUGGAAACAGAUGCUAAUACCGGCUACUAAAGGAUGGCGCUGCGUUGCAUUAGCUAGUUGGUAAGGUAACGGCUCACCAAGGCGAGGAUGCAUAGCCGGGUUGGGCGAAGUAUCGGCAACACUGGGACUGAGACACGGCCCAAACUCCUACGGGGGGCAGCAUUAGGGAAUCUUCCACAAUGGACGAAAGUCUGAUGGAGCAACGCCGCGUGAGUGAAGAAGGUUUUCGGAUCGUAAAGCUCUUUUGUUGGGGAAGCGGUAAUCAACCAGAAAGUCACGGCUAACUACGUGCCAGCAGCCGCGGUAAUAC
rnacentral:rRNA from 1 species